GGUCUGUUAGUCUAGAGGUUAGGACGUUGGAUUUUGAUGCUUUCGUUAGCUAUCGUAUACUUCCAAAGACAUGGGUUCAAUUCCCGUACGGACCU
rnacentral:tRNA from 1 species